UACAGAGGGUGCGAGCGUUAAUCGGAAUUACUGGGCGUAAAGGGUGCGUAGGUGGUUAAAUAAGUUAGGUGUGAAAUUCCCGGGCUUAACCUGGGGACUGCGCCUAAUACUGUUUAGCUAGAGUAUUGUAGAGGAAAGUGGAAUUUCCGGUGUAGCGGUGAAAUGCGUAGAUAUCGGGAGGAACACCUGUGGCGAAAGCGGCUCACUGGACCACAACUGACGCUGAGGCACGAAAGCUAGGGGAGCAAACAGG
rnacentral:rRNA from 1 species